AGGGCACCCAGCCACCCUGCCCGGCUGUGUCCGCAGCAGGAGCGGGCCCUAGCGCAGGUCAGCUCGGGGUGCUUUAGGAGACAAGCUGCGGAAGGUCAUGGUUCUCCAGCGCCAGCACCGGGAACUGCAGCAGCCCGAGCGGCUCCGCAGAGCUGCCAGGUCCUCCUGCAGUGACACAAGAGACUCCGGCGCAACAGGCUCCUGGGAAAUGUAGUCUGUCACCAAGGCUGCUCUGUGCCUGGAAACCGGCGCUGCAGGACCUUUGAAAUGAGUCUGACUAGAGGCGGAUGCUUGCAUGGACAGCUCUGUGAUGUGUGGAGAAGAGAAGGGCCAGUACUCAUGGAGAUCCAUCAAACACCUGGAGUUCCUGUAUCCCUGAAUCCUGAGAAGACAGCACCUAUUCAUUUAUUUCAAUUCUCAACAGUUUGCAAAAUGGAGAACACCUUAAUUUUUACAGCUGACGUGUGAGCUUGUUCUUCUGCACCUACAAUCAACAUGUAACAUCCCAAGGUAUUUCAAAAUGGCUGUUUAAUGAAGAACAUACACCUAAUUUUCACAGCUCUUAACCUCCUACUAUAUCUAUGUAUAUUAUAUAUACUAAUGUAUAUUUCUGCUGUGCUACUUUUACUGUACUGCCUGUCUGCACAGAUAUAAAGGUUCCUGUUUGUGCACCUCUUCCUGUAUAGGAAGUGAGUUAAACUGUAUUUGUAUUUGUUUAUGCCCACUGCCUCUUGCCCUUUCACUGGGCAUCCUGAGAAGAGCCUGGCUCCAUCCUCCUUGCACCCUCCCUUCAGGUGUUCAUAGACACUGAGACGAUCCCCUGAGCCUUCUCUUCUGCAGACUGAGCGGUCCCAGCUGUCUC
rnacentral:lncRNA from 1 species